GAGGAGGUAGCAUAUAUAAUGUAUUUUGUUUACGCCAAGAAGAAGGUUUUUACCUCUCCUUU
rnacentral:tRNA from 1 species